rnacentral:rRNA from 1 species
UACGAAGGGGGCUAGCGUUGCUCGGAAUCACUGGGCGUAAAGCGCACGUAGGCGGAUUGUUAAGUCGGGGGUGAAAUCCUGGAGCUCAACUCCAGAACUGCCUUUGAUACUGGCAACCUAGAGACUGGAAGAGGUUAGUGGAAUUCCCAGUGUAGAGGUGAAAUUCGUAGAUAUUGGGAAGAACACCAGUGGCGAAGGCGGCUAACUGGUCCAGCACUGACGCUGAGGUGCGAAAGCGUGGGGAGCAAACAGG